UCUAGGGAGCUCACUAAGGCACAGAGAGACGAAGGAGUAAGACAAGACCACACAUCCACACGGAAGGGGAACCACGUCUGGAGCCUAUGCCUCCUCUGUAUAGACCACGUCACUGCUCUUCCCACUACCAGAGAGCGUAUGGAAUUCUGGUGAUCACUCCCUCCUUCCAUCAAGAGGAAUUGCUUCUACAAAAUUCAGGGAAGCCAACAACCAAGCAAAAUUAUCCUUCCUGACUCCAGCCACUAGCUAUCCAACCUUCAUGUUUAUUGAUACAAACAUCUACGCAGAGAAGAGCUGAAGGAACUUCCAGCCGCCAAGCUCUAUCCCAAAAGGGAAGCAAA